UACGGGAGGGCAGCAGUGGGGAAGUAAUUGCACAAUGGGCGCAAGCCUGAUGCAGCUAUGCCGCGUGUAUGAAGAAGGCCUUAGGGUUGUAAAGUACUUUUCAUCGGGGAGGAAAAACAAAACUAAUAAUUUUAUUUUCUUUGACGUUACCCGAAAAAGAAGCACCGGCUAACUCCGUGCCAGCAGCCGCGGUAAUACGGAGGGGUGCUAGCGUUAAUCAGAAUUACUGGGCGUAAAGAGCACGUAGGUGGUUUUUUUAAGUUCAGAUGUGAAAUCCCUGGGCUUAACCUGGAACUGCAUUUUGAAACUGAAAUACUAGAGUAUCGUAGAGGGAGGUAGAAUUCUAGGUGUAGCGGUGAAAUGCGUAGAUAUCUGGAGGAAGUACCUGUGGCGAAAGCGGCCUCCUAAACGAAUACUGACACUGAGGUGCGAAAGCGUGGGGAGCAAACAGGGAUUAGAUACCCGU
rnacentral:rRNA from 1 species